AAUUAUCAGUGAGCAAAACAGUUUUUAUUUCAACGCAAGGAAACAAAACCGAAACUAGCGCAACUGUUUUGCCCAGUUGUGCAGAUACAAAAUGAUCCAAAGCCGAAGCCGUCAAUAGCAUGACGCCAUUUUGAACUUGUGCUUCAUCACGCGCGAGUACGUUGUCGUUGAGUGGUUCUGAAAUCGCUGCGUUAAGGGCGACUGCAACCAAGCGUUGUGGCAAGUUACGGUGGGAGCUUCUGUCCGUGCUGUGCGAUUGCGACGAGGGGACCGCCGCCAGCAGCAGCGUAUCGCCGAUUUCGUCUUUGCCGACAUCGCCGGACCGUCACAAGCGCCCGAAGUGCUGCGGUUUGCACUGCAUCUUUCAUUGUGAUAUGGGAGAUCGCAACGGACAGAGACGACCAGAUGCAUACGACCGACUACCAGCGGGGAGUGACCUGUGCCAUAUUUCUCUUAACGUCUCAGGUAUUCAAGAAAUGGCAACAGCGAGAAGUCACCAUCUUACCAGCACGUUAUGGGUACACUCUGGCGGCUCCUACCCCUGUGUCCUCCCACCACCCUGUCCUGACUACGUCCACUAGGUAGUUGGGAGCCUUUGGUGGCUUCUGCCACUGCAUCCUGCCGCCACCAUGUCCCGACUAUGUCCACUAGGGAGUUGGCAGCCUUAGUGAUGAUGCCAGCAGGCUGACAGCCGACAGAAAGAUUCAGGUUGCCUCGAAAUUUUACCCAAGCCAUGCCGCACACUCGGGCCAGGCCUCUUGCGAACGACGUAUAAGCAGGCUCGACGCAUCAGGGUCGAGGGAGUCCGGAGAUCAAGGCAACCUGCUGUGCAACCUUUGGUGACCCCUCUACAUUUGCUACCUAUUUCACAGCUGUGCCUCACCUACCAUCUAUAUAAACAGCAUCACCGGCUGUGAUCACUUA